CGUGUAGGCGGCUUGACAAGUCAGAUGUGAAAUCCCUGGGCUUAACCCAGGAAGUGCAUUUGAAACUGUCUGGCUCGAGUAAGGGAGAGGAAAGUGGAAUUCCUGGUGUAGAGGUGAAAUUCGUAGAUAGUCAGGAGGAACACCGGUGGCGAAGGCGACUUUCUGGCCCUAUACUGACGCUGAGACGCGAAAGCGUGGGUAGCAAACAG
rnacentral:rRNA from 1 species